AAGCUAGCCAGUGAGUCUGCUUACCUGAAUGUGUUCUGCAGAGAUUUAGAAAAAGCUGGCAAUAGUAAAGCCGUGUUACGAGCCUUAAAGACAUUGACAUUGAAGUCAUUAAGGUCCCUGAAAAUGGCUAUAAGA